rnacentral:tmRNA from 1 species
GGGGGUGAUCGGUUUCGACGACGGUCGUCGAUCCAGGUGAAGCGGGCCGAGGAUGCGGGGUCAUCUCGUCAACGCUCCCCGCAAACCAAUAGGUGCCGAUUCCAAGCGCACCG